GACGAACGCUGGCGGCGUGCUUAACACAUGCAAGUCGAACGGAAAGGCCCUGCUUUUGUGGGGUUCUCGAGUGGCGAACGGGUGAGUAACACGUGAGUAACCUGCCCUUGACUUUGGGAUAACUUCAGGAAACUGGGGCUAAUACCGGAUAGGAGCUCCUGCUGCAUGGUGGGGGUUGGAAAGUUUCGGCGGUUGGGGAUGGACUCGCGGCUUAUCAGCUUGUUGGUGGGGUAGUGGCUUACCAAGGCUUUGACGGGUAGCCGGCCUGAGAGGGUGACCGGCCACAUUGGGACUGAGAUACGGCCCAGACUCCUACGGGAGGCAGCAGUGGGGAAUAUUGCACAAUGGGCGGAAGCCUGAUGCAGCAACGCCGCGUGCGGGAUGACGGCUUUCGGGUUGUAAACCGCUUUCGCCUGUGACGAAGCGUGAGUGACGGUAAUGGGUAAAGAAGCACCGGCUAACUACGUG
rnacentral:rRNA from 1 species